UCUUUCAACCGUAUAUUAACAAAUAGUAUCUUAUCCUGAUACAGUUUUUAAAAGCAAUCACUGUAGUUUUAAGUGCAUGUUUCGCAAUUGGUAAAGUAAUCAUCAUGCCCAACCGAUUGGUAUAUAAGCAGGCACAGCGGCUCCCAGCGGAUUCAUAGCAACAAUUUUAUUUGGUGACGAUGGACUUUAAGUGCUGCCUGCUUUUCCUAUCGCUUUUGUUUGCCGGGGCUUUGUCUCGCCCAGAACCAGACUCGCCACGCCCAACUCUACCGCCCUGCACGCCCUGGUGCGCCGGGCAGCCUCCACCGCCUCCCGGAGCAGUGAACUAAUUUGUCUUGUCAUUCCGAUUGAAACAUCGAAAAACAACAUUCUAUAAUACCUCUUGCAAGUCGAUGAAAUAAAGCUACCAAUCUUAAA